UACGGGGGGAGCAAGCGUUGUUCGGAUUUACUGGGCGUAAAGGGCGCGUAGGCGGCCUGCUAAGUCGGACGUGAAAUCCCUCGGCUCAACCGAGGAACUGCGUCCGAUACUGGUGGGCUUGAAUCCGGGAGAGGGAUGUGGAAUUCCGCGUGUAGCAGUGAAAUGCGUAGAUAUGCGGAGGAACACCGAUGGCGAAGGCAAUCCCCUGGACCUGUACUGACGCUCAUGCACGAAAGCGUGGGGAGCAAACAGG
rnacentral:rRNA from 1 species